rnacentral:lncRNA from 12 species
AUGGAGCCCACAGCUAAAGGACGGACCGAGAAAAAUUUCAGCUACGUUGUCAGAGCCCCCAGCAGCGAUGGGUUUGAUGUCAUGAACGUUGAUGUGAAGAUCGACACGUCCUGGGUGUUCCAGGACGUAGAAGACAGCGGUGGGGGGCAGGAAGCCCGAAGCCCAGGCGCGGACCCAGGCACGCUCAGGAAGCAGCUGGAAUCCUCGGAGCAGAAGCUGCUGGCCGCCGUGGACAAGUACGUGAUGUCCGAGUCCGGGCUGAGGAGCAGAAUCCAGGAGCUGGAGCUGUCGGAGAGACAACUGCUGCACAAGGUGGACCAGCUGAGCGCCCGUGUGAAGCAGGAACAGAGCGCUGCUGUCCGGGCCCAGGAGAAGCUGCAAGCCCUGCAGGGGGAGCUUGCCAGCCAGGUCACUCUGAGCCGAAUCCAGGAUGAGCCACUGUCCCUGCCCAGGGAGGACGCACCGGAUGCUCCCAAAAGGCAAGAGCCGCAGGCCACCCUCGGCUCCACCAGUGCCCCUGGACCGAGAGGCUCAGCAGGCCAGCCCUCUGAGGGGUGCUGCUCCUGGGGAUGCGUUGGAGCAGGACAAGGCCCUCUGGUUGUGGUGCCAGGCCUGGAGACCAGAGACGGGUCCCUGGAAGACGUCACAGGAUCUGACUGUGGACGGCCGACUCCGGCGGAACCCAGCAUGGAUGAACAGGCUCUCCUCCUCAUCUGCGGCUGCCCCUCCGGACAGUACAGGGACAGCUCACUCCUUCCCGUGGAGCUGGCCUGGAUUUCAGAGCAGAGGCUAGCAGCCGCCCAGGCCCAGGGAUCCUUUCUCCUGGUGCAGACGUCCACACUCCCUCCCUGGGGGCCAGCUGGGGACCCCCCUUCCCUGCUGCUGCCACUGCUGCUCCAAGAGACUUCGCCACAAGAAUCCCAAAUGGAGCAGGUGCUGGAUGCCAGGUCAUCGCCUGCUCCCAGAGCCUCAGGACAACCAGGUCGAGAUCGUUACUGGGAAAAGAGCCACAAAGCCUCGGUCUGCCAGGAGUCCCCACAGACUGCAAGUCAGCGAUUUCCCAGGAGAGGGCCCAGAGAUCUAAAAGACCCUUGGAAGGAGGGAGGAGGACCAGAGUGGAGAACCGAGGAGCAGGGGGUGAGGAAGGCUGCGGGCAGGAAGGAGGAAGACCUCGGUGGCAAGAGUAAGCUAAGUCAGGAAAGCGGAGAAAACCCGAGCUUGUGGGCUGGCGUUGGAGCCCCAGAGGGCGUGCUGAUCGAGAACGGGGCUUUAGAAACCCAGGCCUCUGCCUCCUGCCCCGGGCCCGGGCCACAGUCCCCAUUGCCUCUUCUGCAGGAGGAGGCCUCAAUGUCAACCAAGGGACCCACAGCCCUGAGUGGGAGGGGGAGGGAGGGAGGGCUUUCAUCAGAGGAGGAGGAGAAGGAGAAAGAGCACCCCACAGCCAGGGCCCUUGGUGCCCAGAGGCCGUCUCCAGCAGGUGCUCAGCUCCUUGCAGGGCUGGCCAAGGAAGAAACUCUUGCGUGGUCUGGAAAUGCUCUGCAUCUGCAAGAGGAAAGCGCUGGAGAUGAAGGGCAAGAAGAGGAGGAGGAGUCAUGGCCUCUAGAAGGGUCCAGUCUGGGCCACAGCGACAUCCCGGAGGAGCCUGGUCCCAUGGAAUGUGCAGGCCGCGAUACACUCUUCCCAGCAGCAGAGGGAGGUCUGACACUGUCCCCCAGAGUGGCCUUUUCACCCAAGGGGACCGAGCCCAUCAGUAGCCCGUGGGUGCUGAGCAAAGGAUCUGGCGGUUCUGAGCUCAGAAUAGAUGAAUUUGAAAAGGAGAUGGAAGCUUGUUUCCAGCAACUCUCCAUCCUGGAGCUUGGGGGCGGGGGACGGUGGCAGCAAGCCUCCAGGCUGGCGGGGGAGAGCAGGAGCGUGGCUCUGAAAUGGCACAGCUGCCAGGGGAACGCUUACUCCCGGCAGGGUUUGGGCAACCAGGGCUUGGAGAUGUGUUUGGCCAGGGAAGUCAAACCCGGGGAGACUAGAGCAGGGGGUAGACCAGGAGAGAUGGAGGCCGUGGGAGCCAGCGCGGGCCUUCCAGGGAUGGUGACGGAUUUGGAUCACGUGAGUCCGGGCCCAGAGUGGCCCUCGGAGCUGGGCCGGAACCAGGCACCGAGAGCCUUUGAGAGACAGAGGAGGAGGUUUCAUCAGCUCAUUUCUGGACUGAAGAAAGAGAGAAGCCAAUUUUUACAUGACAACGCUGAGCUUCGGGCUGACCGAGAGAGAUGCCAUAGAAAACUGUGCGUCCUCGAAAAAGAGAGGGACAGGAAUGUGACAAGGAUAGCCACGCUCGAACGGGAAAACAGCAUGCUGUUAGGGGACAUCACUGACUUUAAGGGGGAGCUGGACCAAAGUUGGCAGGUCAUCUCUGACCUGGAAGACUGCAAUGUGAAAAGUUACGGCAAGAUUUCUGACCUCGAAGAGGAGAACGAGAAGCUGAAAGGGCACCUGGCCCAGCUCCAGAAAGCCGCACUGGAGAGCGUCAGAAAAUCCAAAGGUGUGAUGGAGCACAUCACCCUGGAAAACCGGGAGCUCAAGGCACUGAUCUCGGAGCUCGGGGUCAGCCACGAAGAGCUGAUAAAGGGCGUGGUACUGGGGAUAGAAGACUCGGUCCGGGCCUUCAGGGGGGAACAUGCCCACCUUCUGCGCAGGGUCUGCGUCCUGGAGACGGAGGUCGCGUUGGGGGCGAGCACAGCCGUGGGUCGCUCGGUAGGAGCAGAGGAGGGUCUGCAGGGGGAAGGCAAGAUGCCCGGGGACAAGGGGAACGCUGUGGACAGGGGGGUGCAGGUGACUCCACUUUCUGGGCAACUGACUCCAAGAGCCCACGGGCCGCCCUUGGUGGCGAAAUCAGGUGUGGCCGGCCGGUGGAUGGGGCCUGCCUUAGGCACGGAGAAUUCCAGAUACGAUGCCAACUCUGCAGCUCCGUCCUUGGCCUAG